UGGUGGCGGCUUGUGGACCGGGGGUGGUGGUGGAGACUUGUACUUGUAAACUGGAGGAGGUGGUGGUAGAGACUUGUACUUAUAUGGCUUCUUUGGUGGUGAUGAAGGUGGAUACUUGUGCACUGGUGGUGGUGGAGGUGGAGACUUAUAUUUGUAUACUGGAGGGGGUGGUGGAGGAGACUUGUAUUUGUAUGGGGGUGGUGGAGGAGAAUAGACUGGUGGUGGGGGAGAUUUGUACUUGUAAACUGGUGGAGGAGGUGGUGGGGACUUGUACUUGUAGGGUUUCUUGGGUGGUGGAGGAGACUUAUACUUGUAAACUGGAGUAGGAGGUGGUGGAGACUUGUACUUGUAAGGCUUCUUAGGUGGUGGUGGGGAAUACACUGGAGGAGGAGGUGGGGUGACUUAUACUUGUAAACUGGAGUAGGAGGUGGUGGAGACUUGUACUUGUAGGGUUUCUUAGGUGGUGGUGGAGAAUACACUGGUGGAGGGGGUGGAGGAGACUUGUAUUUAUAAACUGGUGGAGGAGGUGGUGGAGACUGGUACUUGUAAGGCUUCUUGUGAGGUGGUGGAGAAUAAACUGGUGGAGGAGGUGGAGGGGAUUUGUACUUGUAAACUGGAGGUGGUGGCGGUGGAGACUUAUACUUAUAAGGUGGUGGAGGUGGAGGUGGAGAGUACACUGGAGGAGGAGGAGGUGGUGAUUUGUAUUUGUAUGGUGGUGGAGG
rnacentral:lncRNA from 1 species